CUUUAUUGUCUUUGUGCGUGUCCUUUUGGUACAAGGUCAGAAUAUGUUGCCAGAACCGUUGUUGUUGAAAGACUACAAAAUUAGUUACAAAGUUUAAAUAAUAAUAAAUAAUAAUAAUAAACGUUUCAUCCAGUUUUACAUUGGUGAAAAUAUACAGAUCCAUUGAUUUCUUAGAUGUGUGAUCAUAUUGUUUGUCCUUAAACACAGAAGAAGAGGUCAUGUAUGGCCCUUUAAUGAUAUAUUUUGUGAGGUCGUUUAUCUCAAGCAUUGCCAAUGAGGACUGUUAUCCCUGUCAGACAACACUGUGUUGAAAAGGCACGUCAGACUGAGGCAGAUGCAUUACA